rnacentral:rRNA from 1 species
AUGCACGCUGGCGGCGUGCCUCAUACCUGCCAGUCGCGCGAACAGACGAGGAGCUUGCUCCUCUGACGUUAGCGGCGGACGGGUGAGUAACACGUGGAUAACCUACCUAUAAGACUGGGAUAACUUCGGGAAACCGGAGCUAAUACCGGAUAAUAUAUUGAACCGCAUGGUUCCAUAGUGAAAGACGGUUUUGCUGUCACUUAUAGAUGGAUCCGCGCCGCAUUAGCUAGUUGGUAAGGUAACGGCUUACCAAGGCAACGAUGCGUAGCCGACCUGAGAGGGUGAUCGGCCACACUGGAACUGAGACACGGUCCAGACUCCUACGGGAGGCAGCAGUAGGGAAUCUUCCGCAAUGGGCGAAAGCCUGACGGAGCAACGCCGCGUGAGUGAUGAAGGUCUUCGGAUCGUAAAACUCUGUUAUUAGGGAAGAACAAAUGUGUAAGUAACUAUGCACGUCUUGACGGUACCUAAUCAGAAAGCCACGGCUAACUACGUG